GCUGGCGGCAGGCCUACACAUGCAAGUCGAGCGGAAACGAGGUUAACUGACCCUUCGGGUGACGUUAACGGCGUCGAGCGGCGACGGGUGAGUAAUGCCUGGGAAAUUGCCCUGAUGUGGGGGAUAACCAUUGGAAACGAUGGCUAAUACCGCAUAAUGCCUUCGGGCCAAAGAGGGGGGGGACCUUCGGGCCUCUCGCGUCAGGAUAUGCCCAGGUGGGAUUAGCUAGUUGGUGAGGUAAUGGCUCACCAAGGCGACGAACCCUAGCUGGUCUGAGAGGAUGAUCAGCCACACUGGAACUGAGACACGGUCCAGACUCCUACGGGAGGCAGCAGUGGGGAAUAUUGCACAAUGGGCGCAAGCCUGAUGCAGCCAUGCCGCGUGUGUGAAGAAGGCCUUCGGGUUGUAAAGCACUUUCAGCAGUGAGGAAGGCGGGUACGUUAAUAGCGUAUUCGUUUGACGUUAGCUGCAGAAGAAGCACAGGCUAACUCCGUG
rnacentral:rRNA from 1 species